rnacentral:rRNA from 1 species
UUUUAUGAGAGUUUGAUCCUGGCUCAGGAUGAACGCUGGCGGCGUGCCUAACACAUGCAAGUCGAGCGAACCCCUUCGGGGGAGAGCGGCGGACGGGUGAGUAACGCGUGGGUAACCUACCCUG